rnacentral:rRNA from 1 species
GCCGCAAGGUUAAAACUCAAAUGAAUUGACGGGGGCCCGCACAAGCGGUGGAGCAUGUGGUUUAAUUCGAUGCAACGCGAAGAACCUUACCUACUCUUGACAUCCACAGAACUUAGCAGAGAUGCUUUGGUGCCUUCGGGAACUGUGAGACAGGUGCUGCAUGGCUGUCGUCAGCUCGUGUUGUGAAAUGUUGGGUUAAGUCCCGCAACGAGCGCAACCCCUAUCCUUAGUUGCCAGCACGUAAUGGUGGGAACUCUAGGGAGACUGCCGGUGAUAAACCGGAGGAAGCUGGGGACGACGUCAAGUCAUCAUGGCCCUUACGAGUAGGGCUACACACGUGCUACAAUGGCGCAUACAAAGGGUAGCGAAGCCGCGAGGUGGAGCCAAUCCCAAAAAGUGCGUCGUAGUCCGGAUUGGAGUCUGCAACUCGACUCCAUGAAGUCGGAAUCGCUAGUAAUCGUAGAUCAGAAUGCUACGGUGAAUACGUUCCCGGGCCUUGUACACACCGCCCGUCACACCAUGGGAGUGGGCUGCAAAAGAAGUGGGUAGUUUAACCUUUCGGGGAGGACGCUCACCACUUUGUGGUUCAUGACUGGGGUG